rnacentral:rRNA from 1 species
ACAAAGGGUGAUUGCGUUAGUACAGGCGAGUGAAGCGGCAAAAGCUCAAAUUUGAAAUCUGGCACCUUCGGUGUCCGAGUUGUAAUUUGAAGAAGGUAACUUUGGAGUUGGCUCUUGUCUAUGUUCCUUGGAACAGGACGUCACAGAGGGUGAGAAUCCCGUGCGAUGAGAUGCCCAAUUCUAUGUAAAGUGCUUUCGAAGAGUCGAGUUGUUUGGGAAUGCAGCUCUAAGUGGGUGGUAAAUUCCAUCUAAAGCUAAAUAUUGGCGAGAGACCGAUAGCGAACAAGUACUGUGAUGGAAAGAUGAAAAGAACUUUGAAAUAAGAAUGAACUUGUUCUCUGUAAUUGUUGAACGGGGGAGCGUUUCGAUAACAAAUUUGUUUUAUUGCUUCUUCUCGCUCAGGGGGUCUCCCCCCGCGGGGGGGCCGCGCCAUGGAUAUGGACGACAGCCACUCCCUAUUGUUCGUCUUCCCUUUCCGUUGUGGAUCCAAGGUUGCGAUUUUGGAUUUGGCCGAUUGCGGCCUCUCUCUGCGAUGUAACGUGGUACUUGUUUUUUCCUUCCCCACGAGUAAGCAAAUGAAAA